GGCUUUGUGACCAUGGCCCAGACUCUUCUCCUUCUCAUGCUCCUCUCUCACUGCACAGGUUCCCUCUCCCAGCCUGUGCUGACUCAGCCAUCUUCCCAUUCUGAACCUUCUGGAGCUUCAGCCAGACUCACAUGCACGCUGAGCAGUGGCUUCAGUGUUGGCGACUUUUGGAUAAGGUGGUACCAGCAAAAGCCAGGGAAGCCUCCUCGGUAUCUCCUGUACUACCACUCAGACUCAGAUAAGGGCCAAGGCUCUGGAGUUCCCAGCCGCUUCUCUGGAUCCAGCGAUGCAUCAGCCAAUGCAGGGAUUCUGCACAUCUCUGGAAUACAGCCCGAGGAUGAGGCUGACUAUUACUGCUCUACAUGGCACGGCAGCUCUAAGUCUCACACAGUGCUCCAGGCCCAUGAGGUGGUGAGACAAAAACCUCUCCUCUGCUCUCCUGGCCUGGUGCAGUCACCACUGCUGGUGGCUCUGAUUAAGUCUAGCUCAGGGGGUGACAUCUGUUGCCACACUAACAGCACCUGAGCUCCCACUGACAAGUAGGUCUCACAAGGUCCUGCCUUGCACACAUUUCACAGGCAGACAUCCCUUGCUCAGGGAUCAAAUAUCUCAAUGUUGACACUGAAGAAGGCAAGAAGCGUGCGUUGGGGCUCAUCUCAGCUCAGAGUCUAGAAGUGACUCAGAGAUGCUGCUGGUCUGAGAGUUUUAAUAUGAGCCUUGGGAUACAAUACAGGAAUGCAGAAGGGAAUUGUAUUCUCUGUAUCAGCAACGAACCAUCAAUAAUUGAAUAGUCAAUACAUUUAAAAUAGCAUAAAACAUGAAAUACUAGGAUAAGUAUGACAAAAAAUGUUGUUUUACACACUAGAAAUC